rnacentral:rRNA from 1 species
GAUCAUGGCUCAGAUGAACGCUGGCGGCAGGCCUAACACAUGCAAGUCGAACGGUAACAGGAAACAGCUUGCUGUUCGCUGACGAGUGGCGGACGGGUGAGUAAUGUCUGGGAAACUGCCUGAUGGAGGGGGAUAACUACUGGAAACGGUAGCUAAUACCGCAUAACGUCGCAAGACCAAAGAGGGGGACCCUCGGGCCUCUUGCCAUCGGAUGUGCCCAGAUGGGAUUAGCUUGUUGGUGGGGUAACGGCUCACCAAGGCGACGAUCCCUAGCUGGUCUGAGAGGAUGACCAGCCACACUGGAACUGAGACACGGUCCAGACUCCUACGGGAGGCAGCAGUGGGGAAUAUUGCACAAUGGGCGCAAGCCUGAUGCAGCCAUGCCGCGUGUAUGAAGAAGGCCUUCGGGUUGUAAAGUACUUUCAGCGGGGAGGAAGGGAGUAAAGUUAAUACCUUUGCUCAUUGACGUUACCCGCAGAAGAAGCACCGGCUAACUCCGUG